AACGAACGCUGGCGGCAUGCCUAACACAUGCAAGUCGAACGAGAUCUUCGGGUCUAGUGGCACACGGGUGCGUAACGCGUGGGAAUCUGCCCUUUGGUUCGGAAUAACAGUUGGAAACGACUGCUAAUACCGGAUGAUGACGAAAGUCCAAAGAUUUAUCGCCAGAGGAUGAGCCCGCGUAGGAUUAGCUAGUUGGUGUGGUAAAGGCGCACCAAGGCGACGAUCCUUAGCUGGUCUGAGAGGAUGAUCAGCCACACUGGGACUGCGACACGGCCCAGAAUCCUACGGGAGGCAGCAGUGGGGAAUAUUUGACAAUGGGCGAAAGCCUGAUCCAGCAAUGCCGCGUGAGUGAUGAAGGUCUUAGGGGUGUAAAGCUCUUUUACCCGGGAUGAUACUGACAGUACCGGGGGAAUAAGCGCCGGCUAACUCCGUGCCAGCCGCCGCCGUAA
rnacentral:rRNA from 1 species